UACGGAGGGGGCUAGCGUUGUUCGGAAUUACUGGGCGUAAAGCGCGCGUAGGCGGACCUGCAAGUCGGGGGUGAAAGCCCGAGGCUCAACCUCGGAACUGCCUUCGAUACUGCGGGUCUCGAGUCCGGGAGAGGUGAGUGGAAUUCCUAGUGUAGAGGUGAAAUUCGUAGAUAUCAGGAGGAACACCGGUGGCGAAGGCGGAUCUCUGGGCCGGUACUGACGCUCAGGCGCGAAAGCUAGGGGAGCAAACAGG
rnacentral:rRNA from 1 species